CAUCUAGCAGUAACCACGGUUCAGCCAUGAAGUGGAAGGCCACACAAGCUCACAGAACGGGACCGCUGAGUGCUGGAGCGCGUAGCGUGUAAAAAUGGUCUGUUGCAACGCUCACUACUGAGUUUUUUAAAAACGAGCAGCUGCACACAAGCCUUAGAUCACCAGGGGGGCAGGCCGGGCCGCAACACAAGGAAGGUAUAUUCUCCCUGAGAACCGGGAGGAGAAUGACCAGUCCACCCAUAAGUGAUGGUGUACGUCAGAGGCUCCAGAAGAGAGCCCAGCAUCGACCACUUUGUCAAGAAAGUCUGGUUCUUCCUGCAACCCCAGCUACAAGCCCAAUGACCCACUGGAAGUCAGGACAAUGACCCGACACACAUCCAGGCUGUGUAAGGGCUAUUUGACCAAUAAUGAGAAUGGUGGAUUACUGCAUCAGAUGACCUGGCCUCCACAAUCACCUGACCUCAACUGAAUUGAGAUGGUUUGGGAUGAGUUGGACCGCAGAGUGAAGGAAAAGCAGGCAACAAGUGCUCAUAUGACUGUUGGAAAAGCAUUCCAGGUGAAGCUGGUUGAGAUAAUUCCAUGGGUGUGCAAAGCUGUCAUCAAGGCAAAGGGUGGCUACUUUGACAAAUCUAACAUCUAUUUUGAUUUGUUUAACACUUUUUUGAUUACUACAUGAUUCCAUAUGUGUUAUUUCAUAGUUUUGAUGUCUUCACUAUUAUUCUACAAUGUUGAAAUAAAUAAAAA